GAUUUUGGUAUGCAUGUGUAGUUUUGAUAUUGAUUUGAUACUAAGUGAUACUGAUUAGAUUUCUUUUGUAUUUUCUUUUUAGGGUUUUGUUUCUAAGACUUUGGAUUCUGCUAGUGCACAGUUUGCUGCUUCUGCUUUGGUGACAUCAGAACAACUGAUGGGAUUCAAGAUGAAGGAUGAUGUGGUGCUUGGAAUCGGGGUGAAUGGCGUCCUUCCAGCCUCAGGAGUAUACAAGGGCUUACACCUCAGUAGUACUACACCAACAGCACUUGUACAUACAAGUCCAUCAACGGCAGGUUCAGCUUUGUUACAGCCUUCAAAUAUUACACAGACUUCAAGUUCCCACAGUGCACUGAGUCAUCAAGUAACUGCUGCCAAUUCUGCAACAACUCAGGUUCUGAUUGGGAACAACAUUCGAUUAACUGUACCUUCAUCAGUUGCCACUGUAAACUCUAUUGCCCCAAUAAAUGCACGACAUAUACCUAGGACUUUAAGUGCUGUUCCAUCAUCUGCCUUAAAGCUGGCCGCUGCAGCAAACUGUCAAGUUUCCAAGGUCCCAUCUUCAUCCUCUGUAGAUUCAGUUCCAAG
rnacentral:ncRNA from 2 species